rnacentral:rRNA from 1 species
AUUGAACGCUGGCUGCAGGCCUAACACAUGCAAGUCGAGCGGUUGAGGGGAGCUUGCUCCCUGAUUCAGCGGCGGACGGGUGAGUAAUGCCUAGGAAUCUGCCUAUUAGUGGGGGACAACGUUUCGAAAGGAACGCUAAUACCGCAUACGUCCUACGGGAGAAAGCAGGGGACCUUCGGGCCUUGCGCUAAUAGAUGAGCCUAGGUCGGAUUAGCUUGUUGGUGAGGUAAUGGCUCACCAAGGCGACGAUCCGUAACUGGUCUGAGCGGCUGAUCAGUCACCAUGGAACUGAGACACGGUUCAGACUCCUACGGGAGGCAGCAGUGGGGAAUAUUGGACAAUGGGCGAAAGCCUGAUCCAGCCAUGCCGCGUGUGUGAAGAAGGUCUUCGGAUUGUAAAGCACUUUAAGCUGGGAGGAAGGGUUGUAGAUUAAUACUCUGCAAUUUUGACGUUACCGACAGAAUAAGCACCGGCUAACUCUGUGCCAGCAGCCGCAGUAAGAC